AGAGAACCAGCCCCCUGUUCCACAAAGGACUGACAUUAGUUUCAGGACACCUGAAUCUGAAGAAUGCUUCAGCCUUUGAGCUCCAGAAAAUAAGUGCAGAGCAACUUAGACCCAUUUCUACAAGUCAAGAAUUGAGACGGAGACGGGGAGGAGUGGUUCUCACUAAACACUGAGAACAGGGCCAGUUAGAUGGCAAGGCUGUUGCUACUACAGUUGGGACGUUUCCCACUCCACGCUUCUGUUCUCCCCAGGGUCCUGUCUGACACAGAAGCUUCUGUCAGAAACGUUGCUGUCCACACCAGCGUGGAAGACAUCUGCAGAGCUCGCCUUUGGGGCUCCUGUUGGCUGAGGCUCUGAACCAUAGAACUGCAUGUAUCCAAGGGUUUCCUAAACCCUAGAUUGGAGUCAUUUGCAGCACAUAGUCUGUUGCUGCUUCAAAAGCAUAGACCCGGGAUACAUCUACAUCCAUAGCGGAGAUGGAAGUCUUGGAAACUAUAGGAUAAAGAUUGAAAAUUUUAAAAACAAACACACUGUGUUCCGGGUUAAAACUACCUGUAUUCACAAUGCUGUCUCUUUCCCUCUACAGUCUUACUGCCACCAAGCAACCGCAUCAAUCUGGGCUUAUUUUGCUGAUAAUGUACUUAAUUCCAGAUAAACUACUAGAUAGCUAUGUAUAACAAUAUUCUUUGUUAUCCAGUUUUAUGGAAACAAAAUGUCCUCCCAUCUUAGAGGAAAAUAUUGAACCUAAACUCAGAUAUUUGAAAACAGAUAAUUUAAUAAAGUGUUAAUUUGCA